AUGGGGAUUUCAAUUGCUGGAUUUUUCAGGCAUUACAGGGGACAGUUCAACCUUAUAUUAAAACUUUUUUCAAUUUUUUUUGACUCACCUAAUGUGAUUUAUUUAUUUAUAAUGAAUUUCUCUUUUAAAACAGGUUUUGUGCCAUCACUGUUACAUUCAAAAUGGUUUGGGGUCAAAUGUUACAAGAUUGAAGGAACCAAAGAUAGCAGACAGCAGCAUGAAAGGAGAGCCGGUGGGAAUUCGAUCAGGACAUGGCGCAGGGCAAACUCAAACCAGCCUCCCAUCGGGCACGUGCAAAUCCUGCUGCGUCAUGGCUCCGACAGAGAAUAUAAUUUGAAAAGUUUUCUUCCUUCCUAGAAAGUUCAUGCUGAGUAUUACCAGCAUCUCCCCAGGACCAGCUGUUUGGCUGAAUUUCUCAAACCCGUUUCAAAAGCAUUCCGAUGUCUCCCAUUCAUACCAAAUGAGAAGCAAAAAUGCCAAAAAAGAUAUGCAAAUCACCCAUGCAGCACCCCGUCUACAUCUAAGGAGGGAAAUCUUCCGAAUGCAGCAGAGUGUUUCCUGUUUCCUCCAGAUUGCAGGCUUUGGCAGGAGCCUGGCGAUCAUUAUAACUAGAGGAGACAUGUCCCCCUCACUUUUGGAAACUGAGAAUGUUCAUUGUCAGUGCUUUUGGGAGAUAAUCAUUACUUUUCAAAGACCCAUGCUUUGAUGUGUCCCCCCUCUGCUUUUGGAAUCCUUGCGCAGCCCCUGAUGUCAGGCGUUUUUAUUCUGUCCAUCAGGUAGUCUUAAUAGGCAAAUGGGAAUAGACAAUGUUGGUGCUGCACAAUCACAGGCCUGUCCUCGUCUUUCAAAGUACACUCUAAUUAUUGCAGAAUCUGAAUUCCUAAUUCCAGUCAUUUGGAUUUGAAUUUGAUUAAAACAGAUCAAACAUCAUGAGGUUUGGCACAGCCUUAUAUGUGCGCCUUUGGUGAUUACUUCUAAUCUGGGAAUUUCUGCUCUAAUAAGGACACCUGAAUUUGCAGAAAAGCCUUUGUUUGAUAAUGCAUCACAUAGGCAAUUAAAGAGCCUAUUUAGGGGGGCUUCAGCCCUCUUGUCUUUCAUCUAAUCAGCAAUGAAUUUAGCUGUCAGCACCCUAAAAGUCAGUGAUUAUAUGAUCGUUCCUGUUUACUGAAAACAGCGACAUCUUAUUUCACAGGUCAUUUCACACUGAAUCGUCCCCUUACUAGUCAUUAAACUUAAAAACAUCAAACCUCAUUAGACUGAAGAGAAAGGUUGCUCAAAAUUUUAAAUGGUGUCAUUGUUUACUCACCCUUAUGUUAUUCCAAACCAGUAUGGGUUUUUUUCCUCAAAAAAAGCCAAAAAAGGCACAGACAGAAUCUUUGUGUCACUCUCUUAGAAGAACCAUUUAAAUUCCCCAGAGAACCUUUCUCUGAACAGCUCCUAAGAACCAUUUUUAUUCUUAAAGGAAAAGUUCAUCUAAAAGUACAAAUUUGCUGAAAAUGUACUCCCCCUCAGGCCAUCUAAGAUCUAAAUGAGUUUGUUUCCUCAACAGAACAGAUUUUCAGAAAUUUAGCAUUCCGUCAUUUGCUCAAUGGAUCCUCUGCAGUGAUUAGGUGCCGUCAGAAUGAAAGUCCAAAAAGCUGAUAAAAACAUCACAAUAAUCCACACCACUCCAGUCCAUCAAUUAAUGUCUUGUGAAGUGAAAAACUGCAUGUUUGUAAGAAACAAAUCCAUUAAAAUAUUUUUAACUUCUAAAAGUCCAUAAUUUAUUAUAUUGCUUUUUCCAGUGAAGUGUCAUCCCAUCUGAAUCAAAAGAGAAAUAUGCACAGAUCAAGCACUAUAUAAUUAUUAUUAUUUUUUUUUUAUCCUAACAGUUCUUAACAAAUAUGUCUGUACAUUUUGAUGUGCGAUGACUACGGGGAUGGACUUUUUCACUGGCAGAAGCAUUAUUAUAGAUUAUGGACAAUUUUGGCAGAAGCAAGUUUAAAGUUAAACCAUCUUAAUAAUGGAUUUGUUUCUUACAAACAUGCAGCUUUUAACUUGAUAUUACACAAGAUAUUAAGAUGAAGGACUGGAGUCCUGUGGAUUACUUGUGAUGUUUUUAUUAGUUGUUUAGACUCUCAUUCUGACGGCACCCAUUCACUGCAGAGGAUCCAUUGGUGAGCAAGUGAUGCAAUGCUACAUUUCUCCAAAUGUGUUCCAAUGAAUUAACAAAAUCACCUACAUCUUGGAUGGCCUGAGGCUGAGGGUGAGUAAAUUCUGAACAAAUCUUCAUUUUUCUGUGAACUAUUCCUUUAAGGCAGGAAUAAUUGGAACUGAUUUUAUGUCAAUCAUAUACUGCAUGAUUUUCUGCAAAAUGUGUCACAUCUGACGGCCCCAUCCUUAUUUGCAGGCUGGCUCUUUCUUUCGGGAACAAGCAUUGACUCAUCCAGACUGCAAAUCAUGGCAAAAAUCUGUGCAUGUGUAUUCAAGACUUUAGCAUGUAGAGCAUUUUAAAAAUCUAAAGACACUUUUCCAGUUGUGCAAUGGACGUUUCCAUGGACGUUAAAGGUUCUUUGUGGAAUCAUAGAUGCUAAUAAAGAUCAAAAUAAAAUAAAAGUUACCCUGUUA
ensembl:lncRNA